rnacentral:rRNA from 1 species
UAGCGUAGGGGGCAAGCGUUGUCCGGAUUUAUUGGGCGUAAAGAGCGUGUAGGCGGCCAAACAGGUCAGCUGUGAAACUCGAGGCUCAACCUCGAGGACGUCGGUUGAAACCGUUUGGCUAGAGUCCGGAAGAGGAGAGGUGGAAUUCCCGGUGUAGCGGUGAAAUGCGCAGAUAUCGGGAAGAACACCCGUGGCGAAGGCGGCUCUCUGGGACGGUACUGACGCUGAGACGGCGAAAAGCGUGGGGAGCGAACCAGG